UAAUAGGAAAGUAAGGGCGCACGGCGGAUGCCUAGGCUCUUGAUAGCGAUGAAGGACGCAAUAUGGCGGCGAUACGUUUCGGGGAGGUGCCUAAUAACCU
rnacentral:rRNA from 1 species